rnacentral:rRNA from 1 species
CGGCGGGAUUUAAAGUGAC